rnacentral:lncRNA from 1 species
GCUUGACACGUUGAGAGGCCCACGUCGAAACUCAGAGUCGCAAGACCUGUAUGUAAGACCGUGGUUCUUGUAAUAACUUAUUU